rfam:Nippostrongylus brasiliensis genome assembly, scaffold: NBR_contig0011678
CCAACGGCCCUCUUUAGGGCCACAAUUAUGAGUUGAAAAACGAAU